AUCUAGCCCCGAUCGAAGCGACAUCCUUUUUCCUGCUUCUUUAGCAGGGAAAAGAUACAGCGGAGAGCGGGACAAAAC
rnacentral:sRNA from 1 species